CAACUUUCAGCAACGGGUCUCUUGGCUCUCGCAUCGAUGAAGAACGCAGCGAAAUGCGAUAAGUAAUGUGAAUUGCAGAAUUCAGUGAAUCAUCGAAUCUUUGAACGCACCUUGCGCUCCUUGGUAUUCCGAGGAGCAUGCCUGUUUGAGUGUCAUUA
rnacentral:rRNA from 2 species